CGUUCCCGGGCCUUGUACACACCGCCCGUCAAGUCAUGAAAGUCGGUAACGCCCGAAGCCGGUGGCCUAACCCUUGUGGAGGGAGCCGUCGAAGGUGGGAUCGGUGAUUAGGACU
rnacentral:rRNA from 1 species